GCCUAGGAAAUUGCCCUGAUGUGGGGGAUAACCAUUGGAAACGAUGGCUAAUACCGCAUAACGCCUACGGGCCAAAGAGGGGGACCUUCGGGCCUCUCGCGUCAGGAUAUGCCUAGGUGGGAUUAGCUAGUUGGUGAGGUAAGGGCUCACCAAGGCGACGAUCCCUAGCUGGUCUGAGAGGAUGAUCAGCCACACUGGAACUGAGACACGGUCCAGACUCCUACGGGAGGCAGCAGUGGGGAAUAUUGCACAAUGGGCGCAAGCCUGAUGCAGCCAUGCCGCGUGUGUGAAGAAGGCCUUCGGGUUGUAAAGCACUUUCAGUCGUGAGGAAGGUAGUGUAGUUAAUAGCUGCAUUAUUUGACGUUAGCGACAGAAGAAGCACCGGCUAACUCCGUGCCAGCAGCCGCGGUAAUACGGAGGGUGCGAGCGUUAAUCGGAAUUACUGGGCGUAAAGCGCAUGCAGGUGGUUUGUUAAGUCAGAUGUGAAAGCCCGGGGCUCAACCUCGGAAUUGCAUUUGAAACUGGCAGACUAGAGUACUGUAGAGGGGGGUAGAAUUUCAGGUGUAGCGGUGAAAUGCGUAGAGAUCUGAAGGAAUACCGGUGGCGAAGGCGGCCCCCUGGACAGAUACUGACACUCAGAUGCGAAAGCGUGGGGAGCAAACAGGAUUAGAUACCCUGGUAGUCCACGCCGUAAACGAUGUCUACUUGGAGGUUGUGGCCUUGAGCCGUGGCUUUCGGAGCUAACGCGUUAAGUAGACCGCCUGGGGAGUACGGUCGCAAGAUUAAAACUCAAAUG
rnacentral:rRNA from 1 species